UUGUAUUUGAACACGACCUGUUGGGAGUAGGUGCUCUGUGUAUGAGAUACAAAUACAUAUUCGUCCCUCUUAGUUCUUUCAAUGCCUUCUGUUAUUCUGCCUGUGUUGAGUUUCUUUUUCUAGGCUAGAGUUGUUCUCUAGGUCACAAACUUCCUUGUGUAGCCAAGUCUUCAACGUGGCUGCAAAAAAAAAAUAGAUGUUUCUGGCAGAGCAGACGUGUGAGAAAUGCUAUAUCUUUAUCCAUUUAUAUCCUGUCCCUUUCAGACAGAUCUCAACGUCGCCUGACCUCCUUCCUUAAAAGACUGCUUUGGAGUUUUAGUGGCUGUUUGAUCUCAGUUUCUAAUUGCUCUCCGCACACUCUUUAGCUGAUUGACUUUCUAGAAAAUAUAUUCUAGCAAUGAGUCCAGAUUGUCCCUCCUCCUGUUAAUGCCCCCUUUGUCUCAACCAGCCUCCACCCCAGGUUGAUUCAGAAUGAUCAUCGUUGUGCAAUCUGAUACAUGCCUAAUGAGAAGAAAAAACAGGUAAAAAUAGUUGCUUCCAGGUAAACGUAUGCAGGAUUUCCAGCCUUGGCCUCCCAAAUAAGCUUGAAGCUUUUCUCCUUUAUCCUCUCCGUUCGCUUUCAAACUUAAUUGCCAGCUUUAAUCAAAGUGACUUUGCUUAAAAGGCAAGAUUAGUCUUUCUGCCCCAUCUAUAAAACUUAGUACGGGUUGAAGGACAGUCUGUGACCAACUAAGGGGCUGCUUUGUUAGGACAGAAGGAAACUGCUAUGGAAGGAUCUCCUUUGAACCAUGUCUUUGCAGAAUCUUCCUGCUAGGUUGACCUUGGGAAUGCUAGCAUAGGUCGGUGGCCUAAAGGUGGAAAUUAUCUGAUGUCACAGCUGCUGAUGUGUGGAGAAGCCCUUCUGGUUGUGUCCGCUUUCCUUGUUCCUCGAGUAGCACUCGUGCUUUUUAUAACGUAAGAGUCCUUCAUUUGGAGGAUUGAGUGGGAAGCUCUCUUCUAGCCCCUGAUCUCUACAAGGGGCAGGAACACAUGGGUAAAGUUUAGAUAAUGAUAGACUACUUAAAUUGGAACAACAUGAUUUACAGUUAGGUUGGCAUGCUUUUCUAUGGUACAAAAAAGAUUA